CGGCCGGCCGCUGGGGCCGAGUAUUGUCCUAAAGGCCGAAAAGACAGGAGAGCGAGGAGAUUGGGGGACAGCCGCGUGACCGGGAGAGGAUUUACAAUAUUUUCUUUCGCUGCCGACAAUAUCGCAAAAUGUGUGGAAGGGACCGCACGGCCAGGACAGGAGCGUGAGCGCGCGAGCAAGGUUCCUGGAGCGCCCGCGCUGCGCCCGCCGGAGCCCGGGGUCUCUCCAUCACCUGGGAGGAAUCCGAGGGGCAGAGGCCAGCUUGCCGACACGACGCGCGCAGAGGGGACUCAAACCCGGUCUGGUCCAAGCCCGGAGCCCAGCUCCUUCCCUCCUUCCACUUCUGCCUGACCGAAAGACCACUGGAUUUGGAGUCGGUGAAACUCGGAGAUCCAGGCCACGUUCUGCUAAUGACAAGCUGUGUGACCUUGGCGUUUCCCCCCUACCGGAAAUCUGAUGGGCUUAUGACAUCAUGGCUGGCUGCUGAGCGAUGAAGUGGAUGCCACAAAGAAAUCCGACAUAUCAGAUGGAUUCUGAAAUCAGUUUCCCUCUGGCUGCAGUAACAGGCGUGAAGUCAGGAGAAUCUGAGCUUUGUCUAAGAAAAAAAUAAAAAAUAAAAA